rnacentral:rRNA from 1 species
GACAGAGGAUGCAAGCGUUAUCCGGAAUGAUUGGGCGUAAAGAGCGCGUAGGCGGUCCGGUAAGUCGGUUGUGAAAGUCGGGGGCUCAACCCUCGGAUGCCGAUCGAUACUGUCGGGCUAGAGUCCGGAAGAGGCGAGUGGAAUUCCUGGUGUAGCGGUGGAAUGCGCAGAUAUCAGGAAGAACACCAACGGCGAAGGCAGCUCGCUGGGACGGAACUGACGCUGAGGCGCGAAAGCGUGGGGAGCGAACAGG